AUUGAACGCUGGCGGCAUGCUUAACACAUGAAAGUCGAACGGUAACAUUAUUUAAAAGCUUGCUUUUAAUAGAUGACGAGUGGCGGACGGGUGCGUAACGCGUAGGAAUCUGCCCUAAAGAGGGGGAUAACCUAGGGAAACUUAGGCUAAUACCGCAUAAUCUCUACGGAGCAAAGGUCAUAGUUUACUAUGGUCACUUUAGGAUGAGCCUGCGUUGGAUUAGUUUGUUGUUAGGGUAAAAGCCUAACAAGACAAAGAUCCAUAGCUGUUCUGAGAGGAAGAUCAGCCACACUGGGACUGAGACACGGCCCAGACUCCUACGGGAGGCAGCAGUGGGGAAUAUUGGACAAUGGGCGGAAGCCUGAUCCAGCAAUGCCGCGUGUGUGAAGAAGGCCUGAGGGUUGUAAAGCACUUUUAAGAUGGAAGAAGUUGCAGCAAUGUAAUUGACGUUACAUCUAGAAAAAGCACCGGCUAACUCUGUG
rnacentral:rRNA from 1 species